rnacentral:lncRNA from 1 species
GUGAGAAGAGGGAAACCCAAGUGCACCUGACCUUUGCUCUCAGCGUACAUAGUAGCGGCAGCCACCUAGAUAGAUGCCCAAGGCCUGAGGGUGGUGCCUAUCUGGCCUCUUCGGACCUUCAGGUUAUGAAGCCAUCAAAGACACGAUGAGGUCUCCACGUGGUUCCACUCGGGUCUCAGGAAGUCAAGAAUGCAAGAUGCGGGAGGCGCUGGGUGCGGAGUUCGCUCGGCGACUUCAGAAGUUGGGCUUAGCAAGACAUCUGAACGCUGAACCCCCGUGAUGCCGCUGGACUGAGCACCAACCACACCCAAGCAUGGAUCACGCGGGACCCGGAACGGUCCCCCACCCCCAACCCAGCGCCUCCCCAGGCUCCCCAGAGCGCUACGUGCCAAGAAGGCUGUCAGAUGGAGUUAGUCAAAGGGAUGCCAUUG